rnacentral:tRNA from 1 species
GUCCCUGUAGUUCAAUGGAUAGAACAGCAGUUUCCUAAACUGCUGAUUUGGGUUCGAUUCCCAGCGGGGAUACCA